rnacentral:tRNA from 1 species
GGCUGAGGGGUAAAAGCGUUUGGCUUAAGAACAGAGGAUACCGGGUUCGAAUCCUGG